UACGUAGGGUGCAGGCGUUAAUCGGAAUUACUGGGCGUAAAGCGUGCGCAGGCGGUCUGCUAAGAGAGAUGUGAAAUCCCCGGGCUUAACCUGGGAACUGCGUUUCUAACUGGCAGGCUUGAGUGUGGCAGAGGGGGGUGGAAUUCCACGUGUAGCAGUGAAAUGCGUAGAGAUGUGGAGGAACACCGAUGGCGAAGGCAGCCCCCUGGGCUAACACUGACGCUCAGGCACGAAAGCGUGGGGAGCAAACAGG
rnacentral:rRNA from 1 species